UGAAAACAUGGUGCCUCCUGAUACCAAUACUCAAGAGGAAUCUGGGUGGAAGACACUGUACCAAGUGCUUUAUGCAGAUUAUCUCAUUUAUUUUUUAUUUUCUUUUAGAUUAUCUCAUUUAAUCUUUAACUCUUACAAGGUCCUAGUGUUCAUUUCUGGGUUGCCCAAACCCAAGAAGAUGGUCAAGUGCUUGUGAAGAGAUACCAACUGCAGCCAGAAGCACGUACCUUUCAUUUUCCUGAAAGCUGGAGUGACAAUAAUCAGGAGAUUAAUUCAAAUAGAUGGAAGAGAAGAACUAAGAUGGUGUCAGUGAGGACUACUGCCUCCACUGCAGAUCAUACUCAUUUUCUGAUUAAGAUACAAAAAAAAUGAACAACAAUAACCUUUUGGUCUGGCUGCUUGAUGUCAUUAAAUUAGCUUGUCACACUGAAACACACAAUGUAGAAUAUGCAAAAGAGGAAUAAAACAACUUAUUUUAAA